AUACGGAGGACGCGAGCGUUAUCCGGAUUCAUUGGGUUUAAAGGGUGCGCAGGCGGCCGUGCAAGUCAGCGGUGAAAGCCCGGGGCUCAACCCCGGAAGUGCCGUUGAUACUGCGUGGCUGGAAUGCGGUCGAGGCGGGCGGGACGUGGCGGGUAGCGGGGAAAUGCGUAGAUAUGCCACAGAACGCCGAUAGCGGAGGCAGCUCGCCAGGCCUGCAUUGACGCUCGGGCACGAAAGCGGGGGGAUCGAACAGGAUUAGAUACCCUGGUAGUCCACGCCGUAAACGAUGGGCGCUCGUCGUCGGCGACAGACAGUCGGCGGCCAAGCGAAAGCGAUAAGCGCCCCACCUGGGGAGUACGGUCGCAAGGCUGAAACUCAAAUGAAUUGACGGGG
rnacentral:rRNA from 1 species